rnacentral:rRNA from 1 species
UCGGGAAUUUUGGGCAAUGGGCGAAAGCCUGACCCAGCAACGCCGCGUGAAGGAUGAGGUAUUUCGGUAUGUAAACUUCGAAAGAAUAGGAAGAAUAAAUGACGGUACUAUUUAUAAGGUCCGGCUAACUACGUGCCAGCAGCCGCGGUAAUACGUAGGGACCAAGCGUUGUUCGGAUUUACUGGGCGUAAAGGGCGCGUAGGCGGCAAUUCAAGUCAUCUGUGAAAUCUCCGGGCUUAACUCGGAACGGUCAGAUGAUACUGCUUUGCUAGAGUGCAGAAGGGGCAAUCGGAAUUCUUGGUGUAGCGGUGAAAUGCGUAGAUAUCAAGAGGAACACCUGAGGUGAAGACGGGUUGCUGGGCUGACACUGACGCUGAGGCGCGAAAGCCAGGGGAGCAAACGGGAUUAGAUACCCCCGUAGUCCCUGAGCGGGCUGGCAAGGCGCAU